rnacentral:rRNA from 2 species
UACGGAGGGUGCAAACGUUGCUCGGAAUCAUUGGGCGUAAAGCGCACGUAGGCGGUCCAGCAAGUCGGGUGUGAAAGCCCUCGGCUUAACCGAGGAAGUGCAUUCGAAACUACUGGGCUUGAGUACUGAAGAGGAUCGCGGAAUUCCCGGUGUAGAGGUGAAAUUCGUAGAUAUCGGGAGGAACACCAGUGGCGAAGGCGGCGAUCUGGGCAGAUACUGACGCUGAGGUGCGAAAGCGUGGGGAGCAAACAGG